rnacentral:snRNA from 1 species
GUGCUCACUUUGGCAGCACAUAUACUAUAAUUGAAACAAUACAGAGAAGAUUAGCAUGGCCCCUGCCCAAGGAUGACAUGCAAAUUCGUAAAGCAAAAACCACAAUG